ACGGAAGAUGCGAGCGUUAUCCGGAUUUAUUGGGUUUAAAGGGUGCGUAGGCGGAAGAAUAAGUCAGCGGUGAAAUACUUCAGCUCAACUGGAGAAUUGCCGAUGAAACUGUUUUUCUAGAGUAUAAAAGAGGUAUGCGGAAUGCGUGGUGUAGCGGUGAAAUGCAUAGAUAUCACGCAGAACCCCGAUUGCGAAGGCAGCAUACUGGGCUAUAACUGACGCUGAAGCACGAAAGCGUGGGUAUCGAACAG
rnacentral:rRNA from 1 species